rnacentral:lncRNA from 1 species
AACAUCCCUCCAUUGCCUCUGCAUCAGCUCCUGCUCCCUGACCUGCUUGAGUUCCAGUCCUGACUUCCUUUGGUGAUGAACAGCAGUAUGGAAGUAUCUGGAUUGUUCUCAGCCCUGGUGAGAGAAACUUCUUUUGUCAUCAGUGAACAACAGUCAGUUCAGAGAUGUAUGACUGAUCAAUAUGCUGAAUAAGUUGUUAUGAAAGCUCAUUCCUAAAAGGGACGUCUUCCUCCAAGGUUCCAAAAACAUCUUGAAGAAAAAAAUGAAAAAAAAAAGAGCUGGAAGAUGGAAAGAAGUGGUAUGAAAAUAAGUCUUCUGUACAUGGCAAGGCUAUUGUACCCAUGAAAUAUAACAUCUAUAGUUAUCUAUGCAAAAUCUAUAUAAGAUACAGCCAACCAAAUUUUCAACAUGUAUAAGUAGGACUUCACAAGUUUCAACUGAAGAGCUAUUAGGAGUUUCUAACUUUGGAGUAUUGCCAUUAGUACCUUUAGAUCCAGUGGGUGGCUCCAUACCCAUCACAUACAGACAAAACAAAUUUGACUUAUUAGGUUAUUUUUUUAAAAAGAAAAAGAUUAUUGAAUGUUGCAGAGUAAACAUACUAAAGUAUUUGUGUGGGUGGAUCUGAAGGGGGAAACUGUGGUAAAUAUGAUAAUUUUCCAUUAUGUACAUAUAUGAAAUUCUCAAAGAAUAAACUUAAUAAAAAGAAAUAACUGCAGCAUGGCUGCCCUCUGAGAGGUACAACAAGCAGCUGAGUC